rnacentral:lncRNA from 1 species
GAAAAGGAAGAAGGAAAAAGAAAAGGAAGGGAGACGGUGGAAAUUGCGGGAUUUGACCGGCACGCGUGAUGGAUUUGAUGGGCACACGGUGAAAUUUACGGGGAACGGAAAAAGAGGGUUGACGACGUCGGAUGCCAAGACGGCGGGGCCGGCGGGAGGGAAAAGAUUUCUUGGGAGCUCGUUGGUCGGAAAAAUUUUUGAAAUAAAUUUUUAGCGAGUGAUUUGAGUUGGUAAAUUUUACGGGCGUUAUAGACCUUCCCAUGGCGAGUUGAGUUUGUGCAGCCCUGAUGUGUCUUGGAUGCAUUUAAGGACCAAGUCACCCAUGUUGAAGGAACACUCUUUGACAUUACGGUCAUGGUAGCGUCGUAGUCCGUCGAGAUAUCUAGCAAACUGAACCAGCG